GAGAAAUUCCGUCGGAAUCCGCGGGGACCAUCCCGCAAGGCUAAAUACUCCCUAGUGACCGAUAGUGAACCAGUACCGUGAGGGAAAGGUGAAAAGCACCCCGGAAGGGGAGUGAAAUAGAUCCUGAAACCGUGUGCCUACAACAAGUCAAAGCUCGUUAAUGAGUGAUGGCGUGCCUUUUGUAGAAUGAACCGGCGAGUUACGAUUGCAUGCGAGGUUAAGUCGAAGAGACGGAGCCGCAGCGAAAGCGAGUCUGAAUAGGGCGAAUGAGUAUGUAGUCGUAGACCCGAAACCAUGUGAUCUACCCAUGUCCAGGUUGAAGGUGCGGUAAAACGCACUGGAGGACCGAACCCACGUACGUUGAAAAGUGCGGGGAUGAGGUGUGGGUAGCGGAGAAAUUCCAAACGAACUUGGAGAUAGCUGGUUCUCUCCGAAAUAGCUUUAGGGCUAGCCUCGGAAUUGAGAAUGAUGGAGGUAGAGCACUGUUUGGACUAGGGGCCCAUCUCGGGUUACCGAAUUCAGAUAAACUCCGAAUGCCAUUCAUUUAUAUCCGGGAGUCAGACUGCGAGUGAUAAGAUCCGUAGUCGAAAGGGAAACAGCCCAGACCACCAGCUAAGGUCCCAAAAUAUAUGUUAAGUGGAAAAGGAUGUGGGGUUGCACAGACAACUAGGAUGUUGGCUUAGAAGCAGCCACCAUUUAAAGAGUGCGUAAUAGCUCACUAGUCGAGUGACCCUGCGCCGAAAAUGUACCGGGGCUAAACAUAUUACCGAAGCUGUGGACUACACCAUUAGGUGUAGUGGUAGGAGAGCGUUCUAAGGGCGUUGAAGGUCGAUCGUGAGGACGGCUGGAGCGCUUAGAAGUGAGAAUGCCGGUAUGAGUAGCGAAAGACAGGUGAGAAUCCUGUCCACCGUAUGACUAAGGUUUCCUGGGGAAGGCUCGUCCGCCCAGGGUUAGUCGGGACCUAAGCCGAGGCCGAUAGGCGUAGGCGAUGGACAACAGGUUGAUAUUCCUGUACCAGUUGUUUUUGUUUGAGCAAUGGAGGGACGCAGUAGGCUAAGGAAUGCAUGCGAUUGGAAGUGCAUGUCCAAGCAAUGAGUCUUGAGUAGAGUUAAAUGCUUUACUCUUUAAGGACAAGUUGUGACGGGGAGCGAAAUAAUAGUAGCGAAGUUCCUGAUGUCACACUGCCAAGAAAAGCUUCUAGUGAGAAAACAACUGCCCGUACCGUAAACCGACACAGGUAGUCGAGGAGAGUAUCCUAAGGUGAGCGAGCGAACUCUCGUUAAGGAACUCGGCAAAAUGACCCCGUAACUUCGGGAGAAGGGGUGCUGACUUCGGUCAGCCGCAGUGAAUAGGCCCAAGCGACUGUUUAUCAAAAACACAGGUCUCUGCAAAAUCGUAAGAUGAAGUAUAGGGGCUGACGCCUGCCCGGUGCUGGAAGGUUAAGAGGAUGGGUUAGCUUCGGCGAAGCUCAGAAUUGAAGCCCCAGUAAACGGCGGCCGUAACUAUAACGGUCCUAAGGUAGCGAAAUUCCUUGUCGGGUAAGUUCCGACCCGCACGAAAGGCGUAACGAUUUGGGCACUGUCUCAACGAGAGACUCGGUGAAAUUUUAGUACCUGUGAAGAUGCAGGUUACCCGCGACAGGACGGAAAGACCCCAUGGAGCUUUACUGUAGUUUGAUAUUGAGUGUUUGUACCACAUGUACAGGAUAGGUAGGAGCCGAUGAGACCGGAACGCUAGUUUCGGAGGAGGCGCUGGUGGGAUACUACCCUUGUGUUAUGAACCCUCUAACCCGCACCACUAAUCGUGGUGGGAGACAGUGUCAGAUGGGCAGUUUGACUGGGGCGGUCGCCUCCUAAAAGGUAACGGAGGCGCCCAAAGGUUCCCUCAGAAUGGUUGGAAAUCAUUCGAAGAGUGUAAAGGCAG
rnacentral:rRNA from 1 species